GAGUUUGAUCCUGGCUCAGGACGAACGCUGGCGGCGUGCUUAACACAUGCAAGUCGAACGAUGAUGCCCUGCUUGCAGGGUGGAUUAUUGGCAAACGGGUGAAUAACACCCUGGGUGAUCUGCCCCGCACUUCGGGAUAAACCUGGGAAACUGGGCCUACUACCGGAUACAAACCCCUCGUAGGUCAGGGGGUGGAAAUAUUUAUCGGUGUGGGAUGAGCCUGCGGCCUAUCAGCUUGUUGGUGGGGUAAUGGCCUACCAAGGCGUCCACGGGUACCCAGCACUGAGAGGGUGAUCGGACACAUAGGGACUGAAACACGGCCCAGACUCCUACGGGAGGCAGCCAGUGGGGAAUAUUGCACAAUGGGCGCAUAGCCUGAUGCAUCGACGCCGCGUGGGGGAUGACCGCCUACGAGUUGUAAACUCCUCUCGACAAGGACCAAGCGUAAUAGUGACCGUACCUGUACAAUAAUCACCGGGUAACUACCUGCCAUCAGACGCGGUAAUACGUAGGGUGCGAUCGUCGUCCGUAAUUACUGGGCGUAAAGACCUCGUACGUGGUCUGUCACGUCGUCUGUGAAAUCCCGGUGCUUAAUCUCGGGCAUGCAAGCGAUACGGGCAUAACUUGAGUGCUGUACGGGAAACUGCAAUUCCUGAUGUAUCGGUAAAAUGCGCANAUGUCACGAUGAACACCAAUGGCUAAGGCAGGUCUCUGGGCAGUAACUGACUUAGAGGAGCGAAAGCAUGGUACGCGCACAGGAUUAGAUACUGUGGUAGUCCAUCCCGUAAACGGUGGGCGAUAGGUGUAGGGGACUUACACGUCUUCUGUGCCGCAGAUAACGCAUUAAGCGCCCCGCGUGGGGAGUACGGCCGCAAGGCUAAUACUCGAAGGAAUUGACGGGGGCCCGCACAAGCGGCGGAGCAUGUGGAUUAAUUAGAUGCGACGCGAAGAACCUUACCUGGGCUUGACAUACACCAGAUCGCUGCAGAGAUAUAGCUUCCCUUGUGGUUGGUGUACAGCUGGUGCAUGGUGGUCGUCAGCUCGUGUCGUGAGAUGAUGGGUUAAGUCCCGCAACGAGGGCAACCAUCGUCUUAUGUAGCCAUCACGUGAUGGUGGGCAAUCAUGAGAGACUGCCGGGGUAAAAUCGGAGGAAGGUCGGGAUGACGUCAAAUCAUCAUGCCCCCUAUGUGCAGGGGUUCACACAUGCUACAAUGGUCGGUACACCGAGUUGCCACACCGUGAGGUGGAGAUAAUAUCUCCAAGCCGCCCUCCGUUCGGAUUGGGGUUUGCAAAUUGACCCCAUGAAGUCGGAGUCGGUAGUAAUUGCAGAUCGGCCACGCUGCGGUGAAUACGUUCCCGGGCCUUGUACACACCGCCCGUC
rnacentral:rRNA from 1 species